rnacentral:rRNA from 1 species
UUAUCAAAAACAUGUCUUUAUGAGUGUUUAUGUAAAGUCUAGCCUGCCCAGUGAUAUAAAGUUUAACGGCCGCGGUAUAUUGACCGUGCGAAGGUAGCAUAAUAAUUAGUCUUUUAAUUGAAGACUGGAAUGAAAGGUUGAACAAAAAGUUAGCUGUCUCUAAAUUAAAUUUUGAAUUUAACAUUUAAGUGAAAAGGCUUAAAUAUUUUAAAGGGACGAUAAGACCCUAUAAAUCUUUAUACUUGAUUUUAUAGAGCAAAAUAUUAAAAUAAUUUUUGUUCAAUAAGUUUGGGUAUUUUGUUGGGGCGACAGGAGUAUAAAAUGUAACUGCUCUAAAAUGAUAGUUAGUUGAUAUUUAGUUAAGUGAUCCUUUAAUAAAGAUGUUAGUUUAAGUUACUUUAGGGAUAACAGCGUAAUUUUUUUUGAGAGUCCAUAUCGAAAAAAAAGUUUGCGACCUCGAUGUUGAAUUAAAGAUCCUUUACGGUGCAGAAGUUGUAGAAGGAGGUCUGUUCGACCUUUAAAUCUUUACAUGAUUUGAGUU